UUGAAUUAGGACAUUACUCCGCAGACCGUGGGUGCGAAAGCAUAACGUGAUUACAACCUACCGAGGAUUCAUAUAUUCUUCAUUUAGCAAAGUUGAUUUUGUUAUGUAAUGAGAUAUACACCUCUUCGUCGGUUGCGGAGAGGUUUUAUUUUUCAGUUA
rfam:Clostridium grantii DSM 8605 genome assembly, contig: EJ34DRAFT_scaffold00042.42